GAAUUUUUGUGCAGGAUUGAAAUUUACAUAUAUCACAACAUGAUACUAGCUCUUUGCAUCCAUGUAUGUGUGGUCUUAAAAAAUGGUUACACCCUUCUUUGGCACACUGUGUUCUAGCCUCAAUGUGCUUUUAUAUUUAGAAAAAUCUGCUUUUAAGUCUUAAAGUUAUUAAAGGUCCUAAUUCUGUUGUUUAUUGUAUGUGUCAUAAUAAUGUUAAGUUUUGCCAUUUAUACUUUUUUGCUGGGUUGUUUAUUUAGAUAACAUUUAUAGCAACCAAUAACUCUACAUCAUACACUGUACAUCAGCAUAAUGAAAGAGUGCACAUACUGUACCUGUACCUUCUGAAUGUUUCUCCUCCUUUUCCAACACAGUGCUUCCUGGAUGUGAGCCUGAAACUCUCACUCACAGAUGCUGGGCAUGUGAGAGCUGAACAGAGAGCUCCCAACACAGAGCCAGUUUUGUGA
rnacentral:lncRNA from 1 species